UGCGCAGGGCGUGUUUGAUGAUGACGGCGUAAAAGCCCAUACCUUUGAGGCGGGCUGUGCGAAUAUACUGUGCCGUCAUUACUUCUACCAUAGAUGCACGUGUCAUUCGUGCAAUAUAGCCCAUACCGUAAAUGGCCAUUGUCAUGACGGGAAGGGCAAAAUUGUAGAAGGUAA
rnacentral:ncRNA from 1 species